rnacentral:rRNA from 1 species
AGGAUUAACGCUGGCGGCGUGCAUGAGACAUGCAAGUCGAACGGGUGACUCGGGCUUGCUCGAGUCGCUAGUGGCGGACGGCUGAGUAACGCGUAGGUGACUUGCCCUGAAGUGGGGAAUAACUGCCCGAAAGGGUGGCUAAUACCGCAUGUGGUGGUGCGUUCAUUCGCACCAGUAAAGCCGCAAGGCGCUUCAGGAGAGGCCUGCGUCCGAUUAGCUCGUUGGUGGGGUAACGGCUCACCAAAGGCGACGAUCGGUAGGUGGUCUGAGAGGACGAUCACCCAGACUGGGACUGAGACACGGCCCAGACUCCUACGGGAGGCAGCAGUCGGGAAUUUGCG